rnacentral:rRNA from 1 species
CGAACGGGUGAGUAAUGCGUGACCAACCUGCCCCAUGCUCCAGAAUAGCUCUUGGAAACGGGUGGUAAUGCUGGAUGCUCCAACUUGACGCAUGUCUUGUUGGGAAAGUGUUUAGUGGCAUGGGAUGGGGUCGCGUCCUAUCAGCUUGUAGGCGGGGUAAUGGCCCACCUAGGCUUCGACGGGUAGCCGGCCUGAGAGGGCGGACGGCCACAUUGGGACUGAGAUACGCCCAGACUCCUACGGGAGGGCAGCAGNG